rnacentral:rRNA from 1 species
AAGUGCGAUAGGGGGAUCCCAAGUGCGCAGGCAUAGCGCCUGUGCUUUUCGGUACCCUAAGGCGGUACCAGAAUAAGGGCUGGGCAAGACCGGUGCCAGCCGCCGCGGUAAUACCGGCAGCCCAAGUGAUGGCCGAUCUUAUUGGGCCUAAAGCGUCCGUAGCUGGCCGCGCAAGUCCAUCGGGAAAUCCACCUGCCCAACAGGUGGGCGCCCGGUGGAAACUGCGUGGCUUGGGACCGGAAGGCGCGACGGGUACGUCCGGGGUAGGAGUGAAAUCCCGUAAUCCUGGACGGACCGCCGAUGGCGAAAGCACGUCGCGAGAACGGAUCCGACAGUGAGGGACGAAAGCCAGGGUCUCGAACCGGAUUAGAUACCCGGGUAGUCCUGGCCGUAAACAAUGUCUGCUAGGUGUGGCUCCCACUACGAGUGGGUGCUGUGCCGUAGGGAAGCCGCUAAGCAGACCGCCUGGGAAGUACGUCCGCAAGGAUGAAACUCAAAA